rnacentral:rRNA from 1 species
GAUGAACGCUGGCGGCGUGCCUAAUACAUGCAAGUCGAGCGAACAGACGAGGAGCUUGCUCCUCUGACGUUAGCGGCGGACGGGUGAGUAACACGUGGAUAACCUACCUAUAAGACUGGGAUAACUUCGGGAAACCGGAGCGAAUACCGGAUAAUAUAUUGAACCGCAUGGUUCAAUAGUGAAAGACGGUUUUGCUGUCACUUAUAGAUGGAUCCGCGCCGCAUUAGCUAGUUGGUAAGGUAACGGCUUACCAAGGCAACGAUGCGUAGCCGACCUGAGAGGGUGAUCGGCCACACUGGAACUAAGACACGGUCCAGACUCCUACGGGAGGCAGCAGUAGGGAAUCUUCCGCAAUGGGCGAAAGCCUGCCGGAGCAACGCCGCGUGAGUGAUGAAGGUCUUCGGAUCGUAAACCUCUGUUAUUAGGGAAGAACAAAUGUGUAAGUAAAUAUGCACGUCUUGACGGUACCUAAUCAGAAAGCCACGGCUAACUACGUG